rnacentral:rRNA from 1 species
AACGAACGCUGGCGGCAGGCCUCAAACAUGCAAGUCUAGGGGGUGUAGCAAUACAUCACCGGCGGACGGGUGCGUAACGCGUGGGAAUAUACCUAUUGGUUCGGAACAACACAGGGAAACUUGUGCUAAUACCGAAUGUGCCCUUACGGGGAAAGAUUUAUCGCCAAUGGAUUAGCCCGCGUCCGAUUAGCUAGUUGGUGAGGUAACGGCUCACCAAGGCUCCGAUCGGUAGCUGUUCUGAGAGGAAGAUCAGCCACACUGGGACUGAGACACGGCCCAGACUCCUACGGGAGGCAGCAGUUGGGAAUCUUGGACAAUGGGGGAAACCCUGAUCCAGCCAUGCCGCGUGAGUGAUGAAGGCCUUCGGGUUGUAAAACUCUUUCGACGGGGACGAUAAUGACGGUACCCGUAGAAGAAGCUCCGGCUAACUUCGUGCCAGCAGCCGCGGUAAU